GUUUCUGUAGUGUAGUGGUUAUCAUGUUGGCUUUACACGCAAAAGGUUACUGGUUAGAAACCAGACAGAAAUA
rnacentral:tRNA from 1 species